rnacentral:lncRNA from 1 species
UGCCAUUUACAGCACGACACAAGGAAAAUAACCAACCGUUAGACAAUGGUGCCGGGCAGACGUCGUCAAUCAAAGCUCAAGAAUCUUAGUUGAAAUUUCGUAAAAUUUUUAACUUUUUCUACUUCAGAAUUGUUUUCUUCUUACUUCAACACGAAGAAUCAAGUUCAUUUCCACCCAUUUUGAAGACUGCUUCCAAUUUCUCUUCAUCUAGCUGCGGUCUGCACCUUGUUCAGCUAUUGGGAUUGGUUUUAUUUUUUCAUCAAUAUUUGCAGAGAGCUUGAACAACUGAAAGCACAGACAUGGGUUAUAAAAGAAAGGCUGAGAAAGACGUAAGAACUGAAGAUGGUGAAAGCAGUAAUUCGUCUAAGAAAACAAAGUUGGAUGAUCAGGAUGUCAAAAACCUUAUCCUUGUUUAGUCGAAGAUUCAGUUGUGCAUGAAGUCAAAGUGAGAUCAAUUGAAAUCACCAAGGUUAGGAAAGAUAAAACUCAAGAGCCCGAUACCUCGACUUCACCAAACAAACUUGAUACAGAACAGCAGAUAGAAGAAUUGGAGUUGAACGGUUGUGCAAAUGUUUUUUAUGGGAAUGACUCAACCCAAGAAUAUGGCUGGACAUGCUGGCAUAAAGCCAUCAAACUGCGAGAAACCAACAACAUUCCUAAAACUAUGUUAGUACAAUCUGCAAAGGAAAAAGUUGCUUUCAAGAACCGUUCAGAAUUACAAACCUUGAAAGAAUUGCAAGAACUUUUUGGUGAUAGCCGACGAAGAUGGAAGAUUCAGGUGUUCUUUAUCGCCCAACGUAUUUCGAAGAAAAAUGGAUGGCAGUUUGCUCUUCGUAAUUGGAAGAAACGGCAAGUGACUCGUCACAGUGCUAUUGCCAUGUCGCUUUACCUGUUUGCAUUAUUCGGAACUGAAGAUUUUCUGCAACGACUGGUACUGAAUCCAACAGGAUCGCAAGAUGUGGUCCACUUAACGUUCACCGAAUUCUUCAACACCCUGAGGGACCCACAACGGAAUCAAACCAAACCGGAUGCAGUUUUGACAUUCGACCAUUGGAUCACUUCCCUUGAUUUCUCUUUCGCAUAUCAAGUAAAAGUUCGCGAUUAUGCUCCAUUGCUCCUAUUGAAGAAAUAGAAAUGAACCCAAGUAUUCAUAUCAAAUCGAAAUCCGUAAAGCUCGAAGAAAUCUCUGAAGUGAUUAUUCUUAUUCUCGAACUGCUGUCGUCGAUUGCAAAAUCGGAAGCUGAAAAUAAAGAUUGAAGAAACUACUAGAAAACUACUUUAUAGACAAUGGGAACGAGCGGAUCAAUGCCAACUGCAAGGGAAAAUGUUUUUCGUUCGUUAUCUGGAAUCGCUGCUAAAGUAGCUUGAAGGUAUCAAAUCCUUUGUUAAUGUUAACCUGUUACGCUUAAGUCUAUGGUUUUGCAACACUAGUUCGUUUCGAUACUGCUAAAAUUGAAUUGUUUUCCAGUUGGAUUCAGUACCAGUCGUUGCAAAAAAUCUUCAGUUCCGAAUAAUGCAAACAGGUAAAGCGACAUGGCAAUAGCACUGUGACGAGUCACUUGCCGUUUCUUCCAAUUACGAAGAGCAAACUGCCAUCCAUUUUUCUUCGAAAUACGUUGGGCGAUAAAGAACACCUGAAUCUUCCAUCUUCGUCGGCUAUCACCAAAAAGUUCUUGCAAUUCUUUCAAGGUUUGUAAUUCUGAACGGUUCUUGAAAGCAACUUUUUCCUUUGCAGAUUGUACUAACAUAGUUUUAGGAAUGUUGUUGGUUUCUCGCAGUUUGAUGGCUUUAUGCCAGCAUGUCCAGCCAUAUUCUUGGGUUGAGUCAUUCCCAUAAAAAACAUUUGCACAACCGUUCAACUCCAAUUCUUCUAUCUGCUGUUCUGUAUCAAGUUUGUUUGGUGAAGUCGAGGUAUCGGGCUCUUGAGUUUUAUCUUUCCUAACCUUGGUGAUUUCAAUUGAUCUCACUUUGACUUCAUGCACAACUGAAUCUUCGACUAAACAAGGUUAAGGUUUUUGACAUCCUGAUCUUCCAACUUUGUUUUCUUAGACGAAUUACUGCUUUCACCAUCUUCAGUUCUUACGUCUUUCUCAGCCUUUCUUUUAUAACCCAUGUCUGUGCUUUCAGUUGUUCAAUCUCUCUGUAGUGUAUAAGAAAUAAAUAUCUUCUUAUGCUACUCGUGCUGAAUCGUUCACUUCGAUCGUUCGAGUUAUCUUGGAUGGAAGAUUCCGUGAGGAUCAAGUUCACCUGGACGGGAAAACAGCGUUAGAAGCUAUCAUGACACUCGUUCUCGAGAAUCCAAACGCACAUUUAUGCCAACUGCUAGGGAAAAUGUUUUUCGUUCGUUAUCUGGAAUCGCCGCGAAAUUAGCUUGAAGGCAUCAAAUCCUUUGUGAAUGUUUUUUUCUAUGACGCUUCAGUCUAUGACUUUGCAACAUAGUUCGUUUCGAUACUGCUAAAAUUGAAUUGUUUUCGUGUUUGGCUUACCUACAUUAAUUUUUCCGAAAUUUGUCGUAUUGUUAGUUGUCUUUCGUUUGAAUAAAAUAACAACCUUUGCUUGUGGAUAAAUAAAACGAGUUAAUAACUUA